CGUCAAGUCAUCAUGGCCCUUACGGCCAGGGCUACACACGUGCUACAAUGGUCGGUACAAAGGGUUGCUACACAGCGAUGUGAUGCUAAUCUCAAAAAGCCGAUCGUAGUCCGGAUUGGAGUCUGCAACUCGACUCCAUGAAGUCGGAAUCGCUAGUAAUCGCGGAUCAGAAUGCCGCGGUGAAUACGUUCCCGGGCCUUGUACACACCGCCCGUCACACCAUGGGAGUUUGUUGCACCAGAAGUAGCUAGCCUAACUGCAAAGAGGGCGGUUACCACGGUGUGGCCGAUGACUGGGGUGAAGUCGUAACAAGGUAGCCGUAGGGGAACCUGCGGCUGGAUCACCUCCUUAACGAA
rnacentral:rRNA from 1 species